rnacentral:rRNA from 1 species
CAAUGGAGAGUUUGAUCCUGGCUCAGGACGAACGCUGGCGGCGUGCUUAACACAUGCAAGUCAAGGAGAACGU